GCGUUGAUGGUGUAGCGGUAACAUUGGGUCUUCCCAUGGCCUAGCUCCGGGUUCGACUCCCGGUCAACGCA